AAGCUCUAUCAGCAGGGAAGAAAAUGACGGUACCUGACUAAGAAGCCCCGGCUAACUACGUGCCAGCAGCCGCGGUAAUACGUAGGGGGCAAGCGUUAUCCGGAUUUACUGGGUGUAAAGGGAGCGUAGACGGCAGCGCAAGUCUGGAGUGAAAUCCCAUGGCUUAACCAUGGAACUGCUUUGGAAACUGUGCAGCUAGAGUGCAGGAGAGGUAAGCGGAAUUCCUAGUGUAGCGGUGAAAUGCGUAGAUAUUAGGAGGAACACCAGUGGCGAAGGCGGCUUACUGGACUGUAACUGACGUUGAGGCUCGAAAGCGUGGGGAGCAAACAGGAUUAGAUACCCUGGUAGUCCACGCUGUAAACGAUGAUUACUAGGUGUUGGGGGACCAAGGUCCUUCG
rnacentral:rRNA from 1 species